GUAAUUUGUAGAGGAUGUUUUGGGUACCGCCCCGGUCUAAAUUUCUUGGAACAGAAUGUCAAAGAGGGUGAGAAUCCCGUCUUGGACCGGCGGUAGGGCCUGUGUAAAACUCCUUCGACGAGUCGAGUUGUUUGGGAAUGCAGCUCAAAAUGGGUGGUAAAUUUCAUCUAAAGCUAAAUAUUGGCCAGAGACCGAUAGCGCACAAGUAGAGUGAUCGAAAGAUGAAAAGCACUUUGAAAAGAGAGUUAAACAGUAUGUGAAAUUGUUGAAAGGGAAGCGCUUGCAACCAGACUUGAGCGCGGCGGUUCCCCCGGUCUUUUGGCCGGGCUACUCCGUCGUGUCCAGGCCAACAUCGGUUCUGAGGGUCGGUCAAAGGCCUUGGGAAUGUAUCUACCUACGGGUAGACUUAUAGACCAGGGUGUCAUGCGGCCUCUCGGGACCGAGGAACGCGCUUCGGCUCGGAUGUUGGCGUAAUGGUUGUCAGCGACCCGUCUUGAAACACGGACCAAGGAGUCUAACAUCUAUGCGAGUGUUUGGGUGUCAAACCCGGAACGCGAAAUGAAAGUGAACGGAGGUAGGAAGCUUCGGCUGCACUAUCGACCGAUCCUGAAGUUUACGGAUGGAUUUGAGUAAGAGCAUAGCUGUUGGGACCCGAAAGAUGGUGAAC
rnacentral:rRNA from 1 species